rnacentral:rRNA from 1 species
GGCCAUGGUGGUAUGCCGGAACAUGCAAGUCGAACGAAAGAUUUAUCUUUUACUGGGGCACGGUUGAGUAACCCGUAAGAGUCUGCCAUCUGGUAGAGAAUAACAACUGGAAACGGUUGCUAAUACUCUAUAUGCUGAGAAGUGAAAUAUUGUACGAUUAUUGUACUUUGCCUGAAGGGGAGCUUGCGUCUGAUUAGCCUGUUGGUAAGAUAAUAGCUUACCAAAGCUAUAAUCAGUAGCUGGUCUGAGAGGACAAACAGCCACACCGGAACUUAGAUACGGUCCGGACUCCUACGGGAGGCAGCAGUGAGGAAUUUUCCGCAAUGGGCGAAAGCCUGACGGAGCAAUACCGCGUGGAGGAUUAAAGCCCAUGGGUUGUAAACUCCUUUUCUUAGAGAAGAAGUUCUGACGGUAUCUAAAGAAUAAGCAUCGGCUAACUCCGUGCCAGCAGCCGCGGUAAUACGGGGGAUGCAAGCGUUAUCCGGAAUUAUUGGGUGUAAAGCGUCUGUAGGUUGCUUACUUAAGUCAGUUGUUAAAUCUUAGGACUCAAUCUUGAAACAGCAACUGAGACUAUUAAGCUAGAGUUGAGUAGAGGCAGAAGGAACUCCGAGUGUAGUGGUGAAAUGCGUAGAUAUUCGGAAGACACCGAAGGCGAAAGCAUUCUGCUGGGCUAGUACUGACACUGAGAGACGAAAGCGAGGGGAGAGAAUGGGAUUAGAUACCCCAGUAUUCCUCGCCGUAAACGAUGGAUAUUAGGUAUUAGGUAUUACAAUCUAGUAUCGAAGCUAACGCGUUAAAUAUCCCACCUGGGGAGUAUGCUCGCAAGAGUGAAACUCAAUGAGUUGACGG